GUUUCGACCAACAGUUUUGCUAUUGAUGGCAACUGCAUUGAACGUACAGAUUCCUAGAUCUGCUCCGCAGGUGGAUGUUGAUUCUUUUUCCGGGGAUUUGCGUACAAGGCAGCAGUGUAUAGCUGAGAUCACUGAGAUGAUCCAUGUUGCUAGCCUACUUCAUGAUGAUGUACUGGAUGAUGCUGACACAAGACGUGGGAUAGGUUCUUUAAACUUUGUGAUGGGAAAUAAGCUAGCUGUACUAGCCGGAGACUUUUUGCUUUCCCGAGCAUGUGUGGCACUUGCCUCCUUGAAGAACACAGAGGUUGUAUGUCUUCUGGCAACUGUUGUGGAACAUCUUGUUACUGGAGAGACAAUGCAAAUGACGACUUCUUCUGAUGAACGUUGUAGCAUGGAGUAUUAUAUGCAGAAAACAUAUUACAAGACUGCAUCAUUGAUUUCAAAUAGUUGCAAAGCAAUUGCACUACUUGCUGGGCAUAGUGCUGAAGUCUCCGUGCUGGCUUUUGACUACGGAAAAAAUCUGGGAUUGGCAUUUCAAUUAAUAGAUGAUGUUCUUGAUUUCACGGGCACAUCUGCAACUCUUGGCAAGGGUUCAUUGUCUGAUAUUCGUCAUGGGAUUGUAACUGCCCCGAUAUUGUAUGCCAUGGAGGAAUUUCCUCAACUGCGUACGCUGGUGGACCGAGGUUUUGAUGAUCCUGUCAAUGUGGAGAUCGCUCUGGACUACCUUGGGAAGAGCAGAGGGAUACAGAGAACAAGAGAACUUGCGAGAAAGCAUGCUAGCCUUGCGUCAGCGGCAAUUGACUCUCUUCCAGAAAGCGAUGACGAGGAAGUUCAGAGAUCAAGACGAGCACUUGUAGAACUUACUCACAGAGUCAUCACAAGAACAAAAUAGGGGGAAUAAAGGGAAUCUAUCAGGUGCAGCCACAGAUUCAAUUAGUGUAUUUUUUUUCCUCAACACGAAAUCCUGUAUUUCUAGGGACAACAUACCCUAACUUUACAUUAUGAUUUUGUUAUAGAUAGAUAACUUAUGAUUCUUCUCAUCCAAUAAUAACUUGGUAAGACCUUUGUUUUUG
rnacentral:misc_RNA from 1 species